rnacentral:lncRNA from 1 species
AUUAUCAUCCUUUAACACAACUACUUGUUAAUUUUCUGUCUUCCCCCACAGGCUGUAAAGUCCUUGAAAACAGAGAACUUGUCAGUCUUGCUCACAUGAUGCCUGGCAGAGCUGGCAUGCGAUUGGGAAACUAAGGCCCAGAGAAGAAAAAGGAAGUGGUCAAGGUCAUUCAGCUAAAGGACAAGAGGUGAAUUUUCAAAGCAUUGUAACCCUGAGGCUGCUCGGUUCAGGGUACAGGGUCAACAGACAAGGAACACUCCUGUGUUUCUGUUCUCAAAGCCACGGGUGAUUCUCUCACCUCAGCUAAGUAGUCCUGACACAUUUUGGACCAAUUUGUUUCUCUUUCUACAAAUAUUUUGUAAUUCCUUCUCCCUUUUUAACUUUUUUCUAAUAAAAUUGUUGUUAUGUAUAAAAGAAUGUGUGUAGCACACAAAGAAAUAAAGUGUAAAAAUAAAAUAAACACAAAUGAUCCACCCCUUAAUUUAAAAAAAUAGGAACUACACAUGUGUGCUUCCUUGACCCCACUCCCUACCUCCCUGCCAGGAGGUAUCCACUCUCUUAAAUUUUGCUUUCUUCAUUCCCUUAGUUUCUCUUUCAAGCUUUAAUACAUGCAUACAUAUCUUUAGACAUUGCAUUUUUUUGUUUCACUCAUUUUUAGAUGUUAUACAAAUGCAAUCAUGAAGCUUGCAUUCUUUUGUAGUUUCAUUUUUCACUUAAAAUUAUAUUUCAAAGAUUUCCAAAGUUGUAGCUCAUUCAUCUAUAAUAGUAUUUCAUUGUGUAAAUAUUCCAUAAUUUAUGUAUCCAUUCUACUGUUGAUCAAUAUGUGAAUGGUUUCCAGGGUUUUUUAAUUGUUAAGAAUUUUGCUAUGUUUUUUUUAAUAUUUCCUGGCACCCAUGUGCAACAGUUUCUCUAGAGCAGUGGUUCUUCAUCAGAGCAAUUUUCCCUCUUCAGGGACAUUUGACAAUACCCAGACACAUUUUUGAUCAUCACAACCAGAGGGACCCCUGGAGAGAAAUGGGGACAAAGGGCUUCCUCUGGCUAGAAGCUAGCGGCCAAGGAUGCCGUUAACCAGCCAAGAACAGCCCUGCACAACAAAGAAUGAUCUGGAUCAAAAUGUCAGCAGUGCGGAGUCUGAGAAACCCAGCUCUGGAGGAUACACAUGGGUUGAAAUUUCUGAGUUAUAAGUGUGCCAACUUCAAAUUUACAAGAUAGUAUCACAUUGCUUGCCAAAAUGUACCAAUUUCUACACCAACAAGGAGUAUGUAAAUCUCAUCGCUCCAUAUUUUAUCCAACACUUGGUACUGUUAGCUUUUAAAAAUAUAUAUAUUGGCCAAUCUAGUUGGAAUAAAAUGGGUGGAAUAUAGUAUCUACUACUAAUGAGAUGAGCAUCUUUUAUAUGACUGUUGGCUAUUUAUGUUUCCUCUUCUGUGAUUUGCCUGUUCAUGUAAUUUUCCCAUUUCUCUUUUAACUAUGUUUGUUUGCAUUGUUUGUAUAGAUUUCUGGAUUUUUAAAAAUAUUUUGUAUAUUAAUCACAAUUAAUUAAUUAUAUCACAAAUAUCUUCUCCCAAUUUGAGGAAUUUGAGGUUCAUCUUUUUUUAAUUGUGCCUUUUGAGAACAGAAAUUAAUUCUAAUUUUGAUGUGGUUGAAUUUAUCUAUUUUACAUCAAGUACUUUAUGAGUCUCAUUUAAUAAAUCAUUUCCUAC